AAAAAGAAAAAAGAAAAAGAAAAAAAUAAAAGACUGUUGCAAUACUGCAAGCUACAGUUGAAGGUCACUUGACUAGGAAGGUAGCGAGGGAGAUGGAGAAAAGUGUAUGAAUUCAGGGUUGAUUUUGAAGGCAGAGCCUACAGGACCUGCUGGAUUGCCUGUGUAGGGAAGGACUUAAGCAUGAUUCCGAGUUGGGAGGCUGCAUGCUCAGUGGAUGGUCCUAUCCUUUACUGAGUUUGGGGAAACUGGAAAGGGAGCAUGUUUGGAAGACAGUGGGGAAUCAAGAGUUCUGUCUUAGCUGGGAUUUAGGAAAGGGGAUGGAUAUAAAUUUUUGUCAAUCGACGGUGGAGUUUAGGGUCCAUUGGGAAGACAGGCUUUGGGCUGGAGAAAUGAGGGUUUGGAUUCAAGAUGGGGGAGGUGAAGGAAGAAGGAUCUGGCUUAGGAUUAUGAGCACUACGUUUAAGGACAAGCCCUGACUUACCCGUGAGGUACUCAGUUGUGUCCUCAUCCUUCUGUGGAAAAUUGGGAAAAGAGCAGUGUCUGAAGGUGAUGGUUGAUUUCAGUACAGGGAUCAUCGGAGUGUCCUUAUGGAGCCAAGCAGGGCCAAGAAGGCGUCAGGUGGGGAAAGACCUUCCAUGCAAGAUGAACAGGGUGGCAACUCAACUCUUUGCCUCUUCAGGAACUGGAGCUCUGCUAUCGAAGCCCUGGAGAAGACCAGCUGUUCUCGGAGUUCUACGUUGGCCACUUGGGAUCAGGGAUCAGGCUGCAAGUGAAAGACAAGAAAGAUGAGACUCUGGUGUGGGAGGCCUUGGUGAAACCAGGAGCGGCACAAAGAGAAGAGGACAGAACAAAAGUAACCAAAUCUAUUCUCUCUGAGGAAGACCAUAUGUAGAGAGCAGAGGUCUGUGUGUGUGAAAGAAAACAGGGAAGAGGAUGAAAAUGUCCAGAGUGGUGAGCUCUGCUAGGCCCUGGAAUGAAGCUGAGAUGCUGGAAGCGCUAAGUUCUCUCUAGUGGGAGAAAAACCACUGUGGAAAGCUAAUCAUUUGAUGUAGAACCUCACCAAUGACCAGGAAGAAGCAAUCAGUGCCCAGCUAGGCUAAACUGGGCCUGCGAUAGGGUGUGAGUAGGGCCAGCUUCCUGGAAGUGCAACCUGUGCAAUGGCAGUAGGCCCCCAUGCUUGGGGUUUAAUGCGUGGCAGUCACUGCCUUGAAACUCUUAAUAAUUGUAUCUUUGAAUUUGUGCUUUGUAAGUGAAGUUUGAUGGGACCUGGAGCAUGCAUAGGGGCAGGAAGGGAGGGUAGGGGGGCUUGGAGCCACAGCUCAUGUGGAAUCCCACCUGCCAGGUGCCACCUCACAGCCCCCAGACAGGUUCUUAGCUUCCCACUGUCUGCCCCGUGGAGCCCCAGGCUUUACUCAGCCUCCCCUUCUCUGCCUUGCUCAGCAACCACUGCUACCCCUAACCCCAGCAGGGGACUGAGUGGAGCACAGGGAUGAUGAGCAUUGGAUGUGAGCUCCCAGAAGCCUCUCAGGGUGGGGCAGGCAGCUGACCCUGCACUGGGCUAGAAGUGCCACAGCACCUUCAGCAGGUGACUAGGCUUAUCCAGGCACAUCCUAGUGUAGAGGUUGCAAUACACUUGCAGGUUUCCCAUCAACUGUGGGUCUGGGUAGAGGACCUGUGGAAAGGGGAGAUUCCUGGCUUGACUUCCCUUCUCCCAGCCAGGGCAUGCACAGAAAUUAGAAGUUGGCAGGAGAGGAAUUCGGCAGCCAUGGUUUCCAGGAUAACAAACAGCUGUAGCCCAGGCAGCAGAGAUUCCCGGAAGGUCCUUCUCUCCCACCCACCCACUGACACAUACACACCACCACCACCACCACCACCACCACCACCACCACCACCACCACCACCACCACCACCACCAAAGCCUGUUUCCUCAGCUGGGCAUGAACACUUCGAGCUAAAAGUGGCCUUUGUGAAUUUUGCCUCUUGCUCUGUGUACACAUUCUAAAGGGAACAAGUCUGUUUUGCUGCAGGGUGAGGCCCAGAAUGCGGCCUGGGAAAGGCUAACAGGGCACAGUCUUUGAUGGUGAGCAAGCCUGGGGUGGGUAGCUGAGGGGAUUGGGAGGUAUACCUCUUACCCUUGGGUCAGAGAGAUGUGGGUUAGAACCCCAGCAGUCAGUGUUUUAUUCUAUUCUAUUCUAUUCUAAUUUUUUUGAGACAGAGUCUCAGUCCAUCACCCAGGCUGGUGUGCAGUGGUGUGAUCUCAGCUCACUGCAACCUCCGCCUCCUGGGUUCAAGCGAUUCUCGUGCCUCAGCCUCCCAAGUAGCUGGGAUUACAGGCAUGUGCCACUAUGCCUGGCUAAUUUUUGUAUUCUUAGUAGAGAGGGGGUUUUGCCAUGUUGGCCAGACUGGUCUCGAACUCCUGACCUCAGGUGAUCCACCUACCUCAGCCUCCCAAAGUGCUGGGAUUACAGAUGUGAGCCACCACACCCGGCCCCCAGCAGUCAGUAUUAGUGGCAGAUUUUAGAUUCCUUCACCUCUCAGCCUCAGUUUCCUCAUUGGAACAUUGGAGAAAAUACUGGUGCCUAAUUUAGGGGGUCAUGAAAAUUAAGUGAGACCAUCUCUGCAGAAGUGUUGAGCACAGUUCCCAGCACACAGUCGGUGGCCAGUGAUUGGCUGCUGCUGCUGCUGCUGCUGCUGCUAUCAUCCAUGUGUGUCCUAGGAUUCCUCAUAGAGGGGGUCACCAACAUGAUCAACUGGCCAUUGUCCGGAUCCAGGCUUUGGCCUGGCAGACUCAAAUCUCUGAUUCCUAUUGACUCAGACAGUGUAUCUUUCUUCCAGAGGCAAAUACCCCUAAAUGGAUGAAGGAAACCUAUCAAAGUAUAGCACCUGAGAAAAGAUCCCCCUAGAAGAGGCCUCUCUCACCUCUGAGAGGGGUAUGUACUCUGGGCAGGUCCCAGAAGCAGGAGCUAAAGGUAGCCUUUGUCCAUUCAGGGUUUUUUUUGGUUUAUUCUGGCUCCAGGCCCUGGACUCAUGAGGUUUUUCCUGGAACACUCUGGUGUCGAGCAGAGUGUGAAGUUGUAGCUUGGGAUCUUCCAGUAUCUGUCCUGUCAGGGAUGUCUAGUGGUCCUGAAGUCCCUGGCCUGGGACGAAGUUAGCUCUUGUUGCUGGGCAUAGGCAUAGCUUGCACCAGGAUGAGGCCAUGGAGUCAGCCAAGCUCUCUCAAUUCCUGACAGACAGAACCCCCAGGGGUCACCUGGGCUGGGACCAGCACUGUUUUGUGAUAUAUUCAUUUCUGUACAGGUAGACCAGGUAAAAAAUAAUAAGGUGUCCUAGAGACACCUGGGCCUCUGCUGUCUGAGCUCCGGAUUUAGCCUCACAUCUUCUCAAUAUGCAAAGGACCCUGCAGUUACUAAAGCAUUUUUAACACCUGCACUCCUCACUGACACCCAGCUCCUCCCCAAUAAGCCUUUGCAUGGUUCUGCCCGAGACCCUCUUGGUUACUGAGACUUCCCCACUACCUACUCCCACUUAAACUGCAUAGGUAGGUUUGGGUGACUUUCUCAAUGCCACAGCCUUACGUAAAGCUCUUCCAUCCCACUCUACACACCCUUCCAUUCCACCUUGAAAACCCUCUCAUUGCACCCUACACACCCUUUCAUUCUAGCCUUACACCCUUCCAAUCAUCCAUCACACAAUUCCAUUUCACCCUUCACACCCUUCUAUUCCACCUUGAAAACCCUCCCAUUGUACCCUACGCACCCUUUCAUUCUAGCCUCACACCCUUCCAAUCAUCCAUCACACAAUUCCAUUUCACCCUUCACACCCUUCCAGUCCAUUAUUCAUUCACACCAUUUCAUUCCAUUCUUCACGCCAUUCCAUUACAACCUUCAUAUUCUUCCACUCCACCUUACACACCUUAUAUUCCACCCUUGACACUCUUCCAGUCCACUACAUGUCCUUCCGUUUCUCUCUUCACAUCUUCCAUUUCACCCUAAGCAACCUCCCAUUUCACCCUUCACACCCUUCAAUUCCACCCUUCACACCCCUCCAUGACAUCCUUCAAGCUCUUCCAUGCCACCCUUAACAUCCUCUCAUUCCACUUUUCACUCUCUGGUCCUUCCAUGUCCUUCCAUUCUGCCUUCUGCAACCUUCCAUUCCAUUCUUCACAUUCUUUCACUCCACCUAAACCAUACUUCCAUUCCACCCUCCACACCUUUCAAUUUCACCCUUCAUAUACUUCCACCCGGCUUGGCGCAGUGGCUCAUGCCAGUAAUCCCAGCAGUUUGGGAGGCCGAGGCAGGUGGAUCACUUGAGGUCAGGAAGUUCAAGACCAGCCUGGCCAAUGUGGUGAAACCCUGUCUCUACUGCAAAUACAAAAAAUUAGCUGGGCAUGAUGGUGUGGGCCUGUAAUCCCAGGUACUCAGAGGCUGAGGCAGGAGAAUCGCUUGAACCUGGGAGGCAGAGGUUGCAGUGAGCCAAGACCGCUCCACUGCACUCCAGCCUGGACAACAGAGCAAGACCCCAUCUCAAAAAAAAAAAAAA
rnacentral:sRNA from 1 species